CUGGCAAAAGGAUGUGCCUUUGUGGCUGUCUCGACAGGCGAGCACUGUUGGCUGGUCAGGACCAAUUUUUAAAGCCUGUUUCAUACCUGCAGCAGUUCAGCAAGAAGGCUUUCGC